GUGGAUUAGAUACCCUGGUAGUCCACGCUGUAAACGAUCAAUACUAGGUGUGCGGGGACUGACCCCCUGCGUGCCGCAGUUAACACAAUAAGUAUUGCACCUGGGGAGUACGAUCGCAAGGUUGAAACUCAAAGGAAUUGACGGGGGCCCGCACAAGCGGUGGAUUAUGUGGUUUAAUUCGAAGCAACGCGAAGAACCUUACCAGGGCUUGACAUGGGGAUGACCGGGCUAGAGAUAGCCCUUUCCUUCGGGACAUCCCACACAGGUGGUGCACGGCCGUCGUCAGCU
rnacentral:rRNA from 1 species